UAAAAACAAGCAUCUUUUUAUUUACUCUGUUCCUUAAUUCGGUUAUAUAAUACUAUUUCAUACACAGGCCAAACCAAAUUCGUUGAUUCUCCCUUCUUUCAAUCUUUUCUCCCAGUUGUUUACGCUAUUGUUACCCUUUACUCGUAUUCCAUUCAUGUGGCAAGAAAAGAAUCCUAAUUCCGCUGACGGAUUUAAAAAGAAAUUUUUUCGGACCGCUACGAAUUCUUAUUUGAGCGGAAGUGUGUUUAGUGAAAUUUUUUACAAGGAAAGAUUCUUUCACUAAAUAAGUAAGAAAAUGAGUUUUAACUAACUUUAUUGAAUACAAAUCAAUCAUACAUUAAAUAUCAUUUAAAUUAGAAAUUCUGUGAUGAAUCAAAAAAUCCUUUAAAUGUACAGCGCAUUUCAUUUUUACAUCGAUAGAUCAUCAAAAUACCAUAUUCCAAAAAAAUAAAGAUUCUUCCCUCGUAAAAAGGUCAAGAACAUGAAUCCAUGCACUCGGCUAAAAAUAAAAACAAAACAGAAUAAAGAUAUAUGUUGGAUAAGAAACGAAUGGAUUCAAUAAUGCGGCUAGAAUACUGUGUUGGAACUUUUGAGAAAUUUCCUCAAAUUAAUAUAAAAAUUAAUUAAAAAAAUUUAGGAAAAAAUACAAAAAAUAGUAGAAGCUUUAGAAAACAAUUCAAAAAAUUAUUUCAAAUAAACAAU